GCCUUCGUGGUGUAGUGGUCUGCAUGCUCGAUCCGUAAACGAGAGGUCUGUGGUUCGAUUCCCGGCGAAGGCG
rnacentral:tRNA from 1 species